GAAAGAGAGAGAGACUCUGGACUCUGGAGCAGACACACCUGAGAGGCAUUAUUCAACCCUUGGUUGUUAUUUACAUAAACAUGUCACAGGAAAGUUGGUUGUGAUUGAUAAUGGAGAAGUGCCAGAGGAAAAGGCACAAAGCAUCUGGUAUUUGGUUGAGUGGUGAGGUCACUGGGGCCAUUUAGAGUCUAAAAUGGGAGUCCGGUUUUGUGUGAACUCGACUGACCUUGCUUAAGUACAGAGAACUGGUUUCUGGCUGUAAUGCUAAGGACCUGAAGUUAACAGCGUGGCGGAUGCUCUACAUUGCAUUCUGUCAAACUGCCUUGCCAUUGCCACAACCUGGACUGGGGCAGAGCAUAAGGCCUGUUUGAGGGACUUGUUUCUGAAGACCAUUCUUCACAAAGCCAUUCGGAAGAACCCAGGAUGCCAUGGAUAAGGGGGUCCAGAUUCAGGUCACCCUUUAGCUGAAAGGGGCCUCCGAUUGUGAAGGCGGGAGAAGGUGGCGGACAGGGGAGAGGGAUCCGCUGCAGUGAGGGUCAGCAUCAAGUCUCGGACCAUUUAUCUCAAAACCAGCCUCUACCCCCAAGCCACAAGACUGAUCCAACAGCUGAACCCUGGACUGACUCCUGCACCCUACCACACACUUACCAUUUAUUCAUAUUCUGUACACACUUAAAUCACUUUAGUCUACCAGACCAAUGAAAUAGUUAUGUCACCUAACUGCACUACGUAGAUAUACUUUCAUUAUAAUUCUAUGCUGAUACUGCACUGUAGUUAUUAGGCCUAAGCACAUGGGCAAAAAAAUGUCCAUACUAUAUGAAUGUAGGCUAUUUUGGUUUUAAUCUUAAGGCUAUUUUGGUUUGAUCUUAUUCUUAUUUACAUCUUAUUUUCUUUGAUCUGCAUGCUUCUUUUGCACUUGUUUUUAUUGUUUUAUUGUUAGUACAUCACAUAGUAAAGGAACUAUAACACAUUGA